GAUGAACGCUGGCGGGGUGCCCAAUACAUGCAAGCCGCGCGAAAGUACGUGUAGUUUGUUUUUCUGAUAUUCGGGGCGGUCGCGUGUGUAACACGUGGAUCACCUGCUUAUAAGACUGGGAUAACUUCGGGACACCGGCGCUCGUAGUGGCUAAUUUUCAGAACCGCAUGGUUCCACUGUAUAAGCCGGUUUUGCCGUGCCUUAUUGCUGGAUCCGCGCUGCAUUCGGCAGUUGGUAAGGUAACGGCUGACCAUGGCUACGCUGCCUAGCCGACCUGAGAGGGUGAUCGGCCACACUGGAACUGAGACACUGUCCAGACUCCUACGGGAGGCAGCAGUAGGGAAUCUUCCGCAAUGGGCGAAAGCCUGACGGAGCAACGCCGCGUGAGUGAUGAAGGUCUGCGGAUCGGAAAACUCUGUUAUUGGGGAAGAACAGAUUUGGAAGUAGCUGGGCUCAUCGUGACGGUGCCUAGUCAGAGAGCCACGGCGAACUUCGGG
rnacentral:rRNA from 1 species